rnacentral:rRNA from 1 species
UACGUAGGGUGCGAGCGUUACUCGGAAUUACUGGGCGUAAAGCGUGCGCAGGCGGUUUUGUAAGCCAGAUGUGAAAUCCCCGGGCUUAACCUGGGAAUGGCAUUUGGGACUGCAGGGCUGGAGUGUGGCAGAGGAGACUGGAAUUCCUGGUGUAGCAGUGAAAUGCGUAGAUAUCAGGAGGAAUACCGAUGGCGAAGGCAGGUCUCUGGGCUGACACUGACACUCAUGCACGAAAGCGUGGGGAGCAAACAGG